rfam:Pseudoalteromonas sp. P1-25 AN393_contig000027, whole genome shotgun sequence.
UUUAGCAUCGGGCUUGUUUGCCAUAAUGCCAUUACCUACUGCAUGUAAUAAGUGAGUUUUACCUAAGCCUGUACCACCGUA